rnacentral:misc_RNA from 1 species
AAGAGCGUGCAUUCUAGUUAGGCGUCCACACUUAUCGGUUUGUUUGAUGUUACAGCCAAGGGUCUGUAGCUCAGGUGGUUAGAGCACCGUCUUGAUAAGGCGGGGGUCGUAGGUUCAAGUCCUACCAGACCCACCAAGUUAUGGACGGUGGAAGUCUCUGCCGUGACUGGGGGAUUAGCUCAGCUGGGAGAGCACCUGCUUUGCAAGCAGGGGGUCGUCGGUUCGAUCCCGUCAUCCUCCACCAAUACCUUGUGGUUGGCAAACGCAAGCAUCGAGUUUUCGGUGUUUGCGUUUGGCAUUGCCAAGACGAGUAAUAACUCGGCUGUUCUUUAACAAUAUGGAAUGUAGUAAAGGUGUCGCGGAGCAUUGAUGAGAUGCUCGGCAAAAACGCGACAUUGGGUCGUGAUUGUAUCAACCAGUAUUACGAGUGAUCGAAAGACCGCUUGGAAUACGGCACAACGCGAGAACUCAGCCUAUAUCGAGACAUACUCGUUAUAGGGUC